GCUCACCAAGGCUAUGACGCAUAGGGGCGCUGAGAGGCGGACCCCCACCGAUGGAAUUGAGAUACGGUCCAUACUCCUACGGGAGGCUGCAGUCGAGAAUCUUCGGCAAUGGGCGAAAGCCUGACCGAGCGAUGCCGCGUGGUGGAUGAAGUGCUUCGGCACGUAAACACCUUUUAUGAGGGAGAAAGCUGCGUGCAACACAGGAUUUCCGAUUCAAUACGGGGAAUUUUGUGUUGCACGCGGAUUGAUGUCACCUCAUGAAUAAGGGGCUCCUAACUCUGUGCCAGCAGGAGCGGUAAUACGUGAGCCCCAAGCGUUAUCCGGAAUUACUGGGCGUAAAGAGUGCGUAGGCGGUUGUGUUAGUCUUCUGUUCAAUCCAUCGGCUCAACCGGUGAACCGCAGAGGAAACGGCACGACUGGAGCGUGUGAGAGGUGAGCGGAACUCAUGGUGUAGGGGUGAAAUCCGUUGAUAUCAUGGGGAACACCAAAUGCGAAGGCAGCUCACUGGCACAUUGCUGACGCUGAGGCACGAAAGCGUGGGUAGCGAAUGGGAUUAGAUACCCCAGUAGUCCACGCCCUAAACUUUGUUCUCUCGCCUUUCGGAGUAUCGACCCUCUGAGAGGCUAAGCUAACGCGUUAAGAGAACCGCCUGGGUAGUACGAUCGCAAGAUUAAAACUUAAAGGAAUUGACGG
rnacentral:rRNA from 1 species